GGGAAUACGCUCUGGAAACGGAGAACAAAUCCCGAUGUACAGGAAGGAGGCAUCUUCUUUCUGUGAAACAUCCUCUAGGGGAUGGGGCGCGGAUGGACCUGCGGUGCAUUAGUUUGUUGGCGGGGUAAAGCCCACCAAGACGAUGAUGCAUAGCCGGCCUGAGAGGGCGGACGGCCACAUUGGGACUGAGACACGGCCCAGACUCCUGCGGGAGGCAGCAGUAGGGAAUUUUCGUCAAUGGGCGCAAGCCUGAACGAGCGAUGCCGCGUGAGUGAAGAAGGCCUUCGGGUCGUAAAGCUCUGUUGCGGGGGAAAAAAGGCAGCAUCAGGAAAUGGGUGUGACUGAUGGUGCCCCGCCAGAAAGUCACGGCUAACUACGUGCCAGCAGCCGCGGUAAUACGUAGGUGGCGAGCGUUAUCCGGAAUGAUUGGGCGUAAAGGGUGCGCAGGCGGUCCUGCAAGUCUGGAGUGAAACGCAUGAGCUCAACUCAUGCAUGGCUUUGGAAACUGGAGGACUGGAGAGCAGGAGAGGGCGGUGGAACUCCAUGUGUAGCGGUAAAAUGCGUAGAUAUAUGGAAGAACACCAGUGGCGAAGGCGGCCGCCUGGCCUGUUGCUGACGCUGAGGCACGAAAGCGUGGGGAGCAAAUAGGAUUAGAUACCCUAGUAGUCCACGCCGUAAACGAAGAG
rnacentral:rRNA from 1 species